GACUGGCGGCGCGCUUAACACAUGCAAGUCGCACGAGAAAGUGGAGCAAUCCAUGAGUACAGUGGCGUACGGGUGAGUAACACGUGGAUCAUCUGCCUCUUGGUGGGGAAUAACCCUGGGAAACCGGGGCUAAUACCGCAUAAGCCUGCAAAGGGAAAGCAGCAAUGCGCCGAGAGAGGAGUCCGCGGCCGAUUAGCUUGUUGGUAGGGUAAUGGCCUACCAAGGCAAUGAUCGGUAGCCGGCCUGAGAGGGCACACGGCCACACUGGCACUGAAACACGGGCCAGACUCCUACGGGAGGCAGCAGUGGGGAAUCUUGCACAAUGGGGGAAACCCUGAUGCAGCGACGCCGCGUGAGCGAUGAAGCCCUUCGGGGUGUAAAGCUCUUUCGGCAGGAACGAUAAUGACGGUACCUGCAGAAGAAGCUGCGGCUAACUACGUGCCAGCAGCCGCGGUAAUACGUAGGCAGCAAGCGUUGUUCGGAAUUACUGGGCGUAAAGAGUGUGUAGGCGGUUCUCUAAGUUCCGUGUGAAAUCUCCCGGCUUAACUGGGAGGGUGCGCGGAAAACUGGAGGGCUGGAGU
rnacentral:rRNA from 1 species